GGCGUUCGUUAGCUCUUUCACCAGCGGCGCGGAGCGGGCGGUUUUGCUGUCACGGCACAUGUGGCACGGAGUUUCUCGGUGGCCGAAACCCUCUUUUUUCUCAGAGUCCAGUUUCUUGGUGACAGCGCCGUUGGUUGCGCCAUAAGGAAUGUUGUCCUUGACAACCCGCCGGCUGCAGUCAUUCGCAAGCUCCAGGCACCGACAUUUCGCAGAACUGAGGUCUCUCGGUCUCAGCACAGCUCGUUGCUCGAUGCCUCCAUUUUCUCGGGGCGACAGCACUCAGGUCGCCGAUCUGAGGGAUUCGGAGCUUCCCCAGCUGGGGUGAGCCUGGCGUUCCCGGGCGGCGGCGGCGGCGCUGGGCUAGGGGAGCCCGCCGCUCCUCCGAGCCGGUGACAGGGGAGCUGCCCGGGCGCCGUCUCUUCCCAGCGCCGCCGCAGAACCCGCAGAACAGCUCGACCUCCAGAACCCUGUGCUGUGGCGGCGGGGCUGGCGUGUCUGUCGCAGGACCCCGCGGAUUCGUCUGUCGUUGGCUUGUUGGUCCUAACAAGUUUCGAUUUCAGGGUGCCUGCGUUUCCUUUUCUUUUCUCUUCUUUUCCUUUUGUUUUGUUUUGAGACAGAGUCUCGCUGUGUCGCCCAGCCUGGAGUGCAGUGGCGCGAUCUUGGCUCGCUGCAACCUCCGCACCCCAGGUUCAAGGGAUUCUACUGCCUUAGCCUCCUGAGUAGCUGGGAUUACAGGCGCUCGCCACCACGCCCGGAUAAUUUUUGUAUUUUUACUAGAGGCGGUGUUUCAUCAUAUUGACCAGGCUGGUCUCGAACUCCUAACCUCAAUAAUCUGCCCGCCUCGGCCUCCCAAACUGCCGGGAUUACAGCAUGAGCCGCUGCGCCCAGCCGGUGACUACGAUUUCUACCCCCUGGUUCAAGUCGGGGAAUAGCCAAAAUGUGAUUUCUCAACCCAAGCAAGUCCCCACUUAGGACAAACACCAGCCUAGGCGUGGUGGCGAUUUCUAGGUCGUAGGAAGUCGAUGUUUCGCCACAGAAAGGCUGAGUGACCCUGUGACUCAUUUCCCAGCAACUCCGGGUUUCCUGUAGCCUAAUCAUAACAAACGCAGAGUUAGCCCUGCCUCAAGUUUCUUUUUUCUUUUUUCUUUUUCUUUUUUUUCUUUUUUCUUUUUUUUUUUGAGACAGAGUUUCUUUCGUCCAGGCUAGAAUGCAGCGGCGCCAUCUCGGCGAUCUCGGCUCACUGCAACCUCCACCUCCCGGGUUCAAGUGAUUCUCCUGCCUCAGCCUCCCAAAUAGCUGGGAUUAUAGGCGCCCGCCACCACACCCGGCUAAUUUUUGUAUUUUUAGUAGAGACAGGGUUUUGCCACAUUGGCCAGACUGGUCUCAAACUCCCGACCUCAGAUGAUCCACCCGCCUUGGCCUCCCAAAGCCUCAAGUUUCUAAGUCGUGGCAAGUUCCGGCUUCCUACUAUUUUUUGUUACCAGGUUACAGGGCUUUCACUCCUGGGUCGAAAAAGGUCACCAACUCCUACUAAAUCUUAAACAUUAACAGCAACUGAAGCCUCAUCUUCAGACCUAAGAGAAGAUGAAAAUCAGAAGAAGCUGCAUUCACGAGACCUGGGUCCAGAAAAUUAAACUAUUCAACCCCCUAGUCCCAGGGACUAUUGCAGAAGAAGAACUAGCUCUGUCACCUGGGUUGGAAUGCAGUGGCAUGAUCCUGGCUCACUGCAACCUCCAUCUCCCAGACACAAGCGAUCCUGCCACCUCAGCCUCCUGAGUAGCUGGGACUGCAGAAUAAGGUUCACACCCACCUCCCUGCAAUCUGAUUUGGACGGCCCAUGAGACCAGAAGAUUACAAAAACGCAAAAGAUGUUGACUUAUGAGUCCUAGAUACGCUGUAUCCGCUGGUGAAAGGACGCGAUGGUGUUGCUCUGUCCCCUCCGAGUUUGGCAGGCCCGGGAUUCCGCAAAGGAGGCGGCGGGACCAGAUGCCCCCAGCCCGGAGCUCAGUACAUUCGGUGUCCUGGAUGCUCCCUUCCUGUGCUUACCACUGCGAUCUCUCCUGGGCCGGCCUAGAUUUCCACUGCCACAUACUUUCCGCUCCCUGCGUGCUUCCUUGCUGAAACUGCCGGCGAAAAGAUCUCUUUCCCAAGCCUCAGAGUACCUGGAGGCGGGGCGCAGAGUCGCCUGCUCUGGAUCCGGCGCAGGCAAUUCAGGAGGAGCCGCAGGAGCCCUCGGGAGAGCAGGAGGCUGCAUAGGGUCUCAACAUAUGCCCGCCCGCCCCCGCAGCCUCCCUCGCAACUCGCCUCUCGCUUAGUGGACAGACGACCGGAGCCGGAGACUUCCAUCCGAGAAGACCUUUGAGAGUGUCAGCCUACUGCUGUCCCCUGGUGCCACCAACCAAAGUUCCAAGACUGCUGGCUGCAGAUGGCAUGCGCUUGGGGACAGACGCCCUGAGACUGUGUCCACGGCCCGCCUUUGGAAUCCUGGGCCCUGGAACUUCCUCUGAGACCUUCCAUUGGAUGAUCCUCUUGUAAAUAAAUAAAUAAAUAAAGUUACAAUAAUACCUGAGUUCUCUCAAAUGCGAUGGAAGAUGUUUCGCCUUCAGAUCACUUUAUGCCUUUUUUCCUUCCUCUUCUCAAUAAAAUUGUACACAAAUGUGAAA